AAUAGUUCUAUAGAUUUUCAAAUCAUCAGCAAACAGUGCACACUCAGAGUGUUUUACAACAUCAACAACAUCAUUUAUAUAAAGCAAAAAUAGCAGUGGCCCUAAGUUUGAGCCUUGAGGUAUUCCUGAUGUUUGGACGUAAAAUUUUGACAUGUAUCCGUUGUAAAGCACCCUGAGUUUUCUUUCAUGCAAAUAUGAUGUAAAUAAUGAUAUCAUUGCGUCAGAGAAGCCAAAGUCUUGAAGUUUCUUUAUUAAAAUCUUAUGAACAAUCCGAUCAAAUGCUUUUGCUAUGUCAGUGUAAAUAACGUCCACUUGUUUCCCCAUGUCAACAUUUUCAGAUAAGUAUUGUGUCACAGCCAAGAGAUUUGUCAAAGUGGAUCGGCCUCUCAUGAAUGCAUGUUGUUUAAUAGUAAUAUUGUUCUUAACUAUGGGAUAGAUAUGAUCAUAAAGUAUACUUUCCAGCAGUUUAGCAAAAUUCGAUAGAAUUGAAAUGGGACGAUAGUUUACAACGUCUGAAUUGACUCCUCCUUUGUGCACCGGAUAUACCCGUGAUUCCUUCCAAACAGAAGGAAAUACACCUGUUGAUAUGCACGAAUUAAAUAUGGACCGCAGGGGCUGCACUAAUAUGGGCAUACAAUCUUUCAAGAAAAAUGCAGCAAUUAAUGAGCCGCCACCUCUAGAUCGACCAGUAUAGUUUGUAUCUCUGUCAGAGCGUACUACAUGAUAGGAUGAAGAAAAAAGUUCACCAUUAGAAACACCAGAGUCCAGCCAAGUUUCAGUCAAACAAAUAAUGUCAAAAUGAUCAUCACAUGUGUUAGGGUUCAACAGUAUAUUCUAUCUCACAGAAAUCCGACAAUUCAUGAGGUGUACGAAGUGUACUUAGCAAGGGUUUAAUUAGUCACGAAGACCCAUGGACCGUAGAUAAAGUUUUUGGGGUAUCUAUAUCAAUUGUUAGAUUGAACAGAUCAUGUUUCAGCUUGGCGUUAGCAGACUUAUAUGCAAAACAGUUCUUAUAAUCCCAAACUGCAUGGGAAGCAUCAAUAUCAUAAUGUUGAGAAUUCCGAAGAUGAAGACAAUUGGAACAGCAUAAAUCCUUAUUCUUAUCAGCUGCGCAGUUCUUAAUUUCAUGAGAUUUAGAGCACAAGGGACAAGACUGAUCUUUUUUACAUUGUUUAGCACCAUGGUUAUACCCAUUGCACCUAAAGCAUCUUAAAACUGUUACAGCAUCAAAUACGCUACAACCAUUCAGACCUAUAAGAAGAUGUCCAGAGUCAAGAAGUUUUUUAUACGAUUCAAGGUCCACAAGACAUUCAGCUUGUAAUUUAUCUUUAGAUUUAG